UUGACUGCGUGUUCGGCUCUCCACCAUUCAGCCGUGCACAGCUUGUAUAAGGAGGAUAUGGUAAAUCCCCGGGCUCGGGGUGCGGCAGUGUGGAGACCUGUCGUAAGGCGGCGCACGCAAGUGGCCGCGAGUCUGCUCGCGCGGAGGCGGGGCAGACGGAGCCGGUACUAUGGCA
ncrna:unclassified sequences malK-I RNA